rnacentral:rRNA from 1 species
UACGUAGGGUGCAAGCGUUGUCCGGAAUUAUUGGGCGUAAAGAGCUCGUAGGCGGUCUGUCGCGUCUGCUGUGAAAACUCAGGGCUUAACCCUGAGCUUGCAGUGGGUACGGGCAGACUAGAGUGCGGUAGGGGAGACUGGAAUUCCUGGUGUAGCGGUGAAAUGCGCAGAUAUCAGGAGGAACACCGGGUGGCGAAGGC